rnacentral:lncRNA from 15 species
ACGGAGCCAGCGGAGGUGGCGUCCUGCAUGUCGAGCUGCUCUCAUUGGCUGUGCAGUUUCGACUUGUCUGUAGCAGGAAACACAGGCUGGACUGGUCACUCCAGAUCUUGGGAAUACAGCUAAACAAUGCACUAUAAUAUGUUUCUGAAAUGAUUUUAGGAGCACCAGAGUUUGAUGGGCCAUCCCAGACGCCGGUUGACAUUUUGUCCCCAGUCCGACCGGAUGCCACAUAAAAAAUUCACUCAGGCGAGAAGCCAGGAGGAAUACCCAGCUCCCUCCACCCCCGGCGUGUGCCUCUCAGUGGGGAGUGCAAGUUUCUUACAUUUGAGUGGGAGGACGGUGAGAGGACGAGAUGAAGAACUAGAGGGAAAGAAAUGGAUGGAACUGUGGAGGACAAAUAGGGGGGGAAAAACCUGAGAGGGCUUGAGCAGAAGAAGAGGAGGAGAUGAGGAGGAUUAGGUGAGGAGGAGGACAAGAGGCGCUCUCCCUCUCAGCCAGCCGGAUGGGGAGAAAAAGAGUGACGAGAGAGAAAGCAAGGGGAGGGCAUGGCAAAGAAGCUGGAGAGACUGUGAGUGUGUGUGAGGGCUAAGUGAGGCCUUUAUAAAUGAAAGCAGAUGCCUGGCAUUAUGAACUUGUCGGGUCGCAGAUGGGGAUGGCGGUGAUGGAGCACUUGACUCCCCGGAUGGUUAUCAUUCACUCUCCUCCUCUUGCCUCUCAACUGCCUUCCCCAGUGCUCGGAGAGGGUGAGAGGAAGAAAGAGGGAGAAACAGAAUGGGUUAUAGAGAAAAAGAGACAGAGAGAAUAUCCAUAGAGUGCAAGAAAUAAGAGGACAAGAAGGUGGACUUUUCAGCGAGUGAUUAGUGGGCCUAUUUAAAUAAAGACCAUGAAUACAGUAUAAAGAUAAAAGCUUCAAGUCUUUUUCUUCCUUCUUCCUUUUCCUUCUGUGAUUGAUCUCAGCGUCGGUGUGCGGUGAUUGAUUAGAUUGCCUGCGGAACAUCAUCCCGCUAACUAGUCGCUCCGAGAAGGGUGUUUGUCACUGCCAUUGAUCUUCUUGUAAAUGAAAUGUUCCAUUUCCAGUGCAUUUUAUUGUUAAAUGCAGUUCAUUAGCUACUCUGAGAUUUAUGGCCAUGUCUCUUCUCUUGGGCUGGAAAAAGACGAGAGAAAGGCUGGAAAGAGACAAGGGGGGGAGAGUGGAUGAGAAGGAGUAGAAGGGGAGCAGGGCAGAGACGAGUGUUGAUGGUAUAGAGCUGCUGCAGACUUGAUAAAUAUGGCCCAAGUUUGCCAAGAGAUGAGAGAUAAUGAUAGUGAAGAGGAACUGACACACUGGGCUUCCUGAUAUACUGUAGUUAUACUUCUUGUCAUCACCGUGGAAACAUCCACACUAGCAUUUAGAAAUACCGGUAAACCUAACUUAUUUGAGUUAGUAGUUUAAGAAAUCCUUGAGAUAUAUACUGCACAUUUGCUAAUGUUUUUUUGACUAGAAUAGAGGAGAAAGUAGACAUAUUUUGAAAUACAAUUAUUCAGUUAUGUGGUUGGGUUUUAUGGUGGCCAAAAGGUCUGUGCAUGAAUAAAUCCUUUAAUCACAUUGCUGGCCUGCUAAAAGAGUUUUGGUUUUAAUUAAUGUAGUGAUGUGUUUGCUUAUGAGGAAAUUGGGGUGAUCUUGCCGACCUCCACUGGAAUGUCAAAUGUCACCAUGAUGAUCUGAAAAUGUUUCCGAAGAUCUCAUCUACAUUAAAAAAAACAUUCUGUUUUCACAAAAUUCUGCUUGUGAUCCAUGUUCCCCCCGCUGGAAGACAAUGUGAGGCCUCGUGUGUGAUGUUGGUUGAGCAGUGCUUUCAGUAUUGGCGUGUUCUAUUGUACAGUUACUGUAAUGAACAAAAAAAUAAGUUG